AACGCACAUUGCGCCCUUUGGUAUUCCUUAGGGCAUGCCUGUUCGAGCGUCAUUUAACCCCUCAAGCUCUGCUUGGUGUUGGGCGCUUGUCCCGCCUCAGGCGCGGACUCGCCUUAAAAUCAUUGGCGGCCUACGUACCGGCUUCGAGCGCAGCACAUUCGCGUCUCCUGCCCGGCACGCUGGCGUCCAGCAAGCCUCUUACCCAAUUUUGACCUCGGAUCAGGUAGGGAUACCCGCUGAACUUAA
rnacentral:misc_RNA from 1 species